rnacentral:lncRNA from 1 species
CACACUGCCCUCUGGACUGGGCCUCCCAGCACGGGCUGGGGUGUGGAGAAGCCUUCUGAUCACUGUCAUGCUGUGCUGCUCUCCCCUCCCUUCCCCAGGCCCUCACCAGUCCCUCCCAGCCCCGCUGGCUCCUGUCCAUGAGGCCGCACCCCGCUUUGGCCUAACUGCUGAUGAGCUCCCCUUCCUCACCUUCCCAUACUCCUUCAAGUAGUCUCGCUGCUAAGCUCAGGCUUAUUUUUCUUCUGACCCUGUACCCUGGAAUCCAGCCCAGCUUCUCUCAUUGCAGGGCACAGCGGGGCGUUAUGCACUCCAGCCGCCCUGCCCUCGGGACAGCAGAUGUCGCCUGACGCGCUCCUCCAUCCCUGCCGCUGCAUCCCCGGCCCUCCUGGCUGUGUCACUCCACCGGCUCUGCCUCGAAGCCCCGCGGCCACCGCUCUCCUCUGUUUCCGUCUGCUCAGCCUUCCGGGUUCCACACACAUGCAGCCGUGUGGUGUGCUUGCUUCUGUGUCCAGCUUACUCCCCUCAGCGAUGCUCUCUGGGUCCCUCCGUGCUUCACAGACGGCAAGGCCUUCUUCAGGGCUGAGCAUUACUCCGUCUUAUGUGCAGAUCAGUGUUCUGUCCAUUCCCCUGCUGUUUCCAUAGCCGGGCUGUGGUGGGGAACGCUGUCGGGCCGGGGGCGCAGGCAUCUCUUCGGGCACCGACCUCACUGCCGUUUGUGUACCCAGGAGACUCCUGCUCCCACUGGGCCUCUUCGCCCUUCGUGGGACGCCCCGCCUUGGGCCCACGAAGGCUGCGCUGAUGCCCCUGCCUCUGCCGUCCUCACCGGCCCUGCUGCCGCCUGCCUGUCCUCUCAGCAGUGCCACUGGCAGGUGGGAAGCGAAGCGCCGUCUCAUCUGGUUUUACUUUGCGUCUCACGGAGGAUGCAUGACACCAAGCACUUUGCACAUGGCUGCCAGCCAUUUGUGUCUUUCUUGGAAAACGUCUUCUCAAAGAGCUUUCCAGACCAUUUUUGUUCAGCUCUAGACUGCUGCCUGAUUCUAAAAUCACGAAAAAGGGAGGAAGGUGUGAGGGGAAGAGCAGGGGAGG